GGUGACAACUAUUAUAAGUUUCAUCUUUAAGCCUAUAAUGAGUUGAAUAUAUAUAUAUGUGCGCCUUUACAGCAUUUUGUUAACGAUGGUUAGUGGGAUUGAAAAUUUAUGGCAUGUUUGACAGCCACAGGAACAAUAUGAAAUGGGGACUAUGAAAAUUGCAAUUUUCAAGCUUUGCAAAAUUUCACGAUCACUUUAUAUCGUUUAGAUCAUAAAAAAUUGCUUUACUUUCUCCCAAUGAUUGAAGACUUACCGGUUGAAAUUUAUAUUAGUUGCUAAUAUAUUUCCCCAGUAGAAGAAUCUUAGGUUAGACUUUCCCUUCAUAUUGGAAAUUCAGCUUGUAAUCAUGUUGCAAAUUUGCUAGUGUAUUUCUGCAAGGACCCUCUCCGAAUACAGAAUGAAGAUGCUGAAGAUCAUCAGCUGAGCAAGCAUCUAUUAUAGCAUACACACCAGGUUUCAGAGCCUCGUCUAUCUCCCUUCUAAUGCCAGUUUUAAGGGGACCAUAUCCUGAAUAAACCCAUAUGUAAUUUGAUAAAAACUUGAAACAGUGCCGGCCGAAGACAUCUUUUUUCUGUCGUAACUCUUCAUAAAUCCUCCGAAGGAAGCAGGCACAUUUUACUCCCUCUUGAACUCCCCAUGAAAAAUGACCUUGUCUGACUGUCAAGUCAUUACCCACCAUCUCCAGGCAAUGAAGAAGAACACAGGAAGAUUCUUGAAGCAGAGAAAUGCACUGUUCUGACUUGCUUGUGUGAUUCUUCAAAGUGGUAUACAAUAAUCGGCAGCAUGCGCUGAACAAUUCUAUUGAGAAUCGUUGAUCUACAACACAAGAAUGCAUGCCUGCUACAGGAUCAGGAGUCUUGGUUAUCCACAAGCAAGAAUAUAUCGGAUAAAAGUGGACCUUUAGAAAGUUGACCAAAAUGUUGAAAAAGUGCUGCAGGUAUGCGUAAAGACUGCCCCACAUGCCAGGAAUCCAUUUGAAACCAUUUUUUUUUUGCAGAAACUCUUGUUAGCACCUGAACACACAUAAGAAUAACUGCUCCUGGAUCUGGACCCUUAUGAACACUACCACCAACUGUAGUAUCACAGAAAACUAAUGGGCUUUGCAAGUGUAGAAUAAUGUUGAACAAAGCAGCAAUUAAACUCUUAAUGUGCCUCUUAACAACACUUACACAUUUUUUACCUGAAACGUAUUCCAGAACUAGAUCCAAGCAGUCAAUACCAGCUGCAACAGUUGCAGAAAACUUUCCACCAUCUGCACUUCCAGUAUUUAUGUUGUAGAUUAUUUUACAGCCUUCAUGCACUCCCACCAAUGCUCUCUCAAUAGCUUGUAUUGCAGACAAAACAUGCAAGUCUGAGGACUUGCUUAUUAAUACUUUGAAUGACAUCUUCAAUUUAGCCCUAAAUUCAUCCAAGAAUAGUGACAUAAGAGAAAGAGAUAUUUCAGAUGAUCCUUUAUUACCCCAGAGUAUCUUAUCACUUGACUCUGUCUCAUGAGACGCCAGAGUAGCCAUUUUCCCCUGCAAAGUAAUGCAUUUUCCUAAAGCAUUUAAGUGCAACUCUAUCAGCUUGGCAUGCAAAGUCAAGUUCCAUUUAGGAAAAUAGCUCCCUAAUUCUUGCAGAUAGUUGAGAACACCAUCUAACCAAACAAAAGAGAAUGGUUGUGGCACCUCUGACAUUUCUGCUAACUUCAACAGCAAAACAUUAGAUAAACCAAAACAACUAGG
rnacentral:misc_RNA from 1 species